UACGAGAGGCGCAAACGUUAUUCGGAAUUACUGGGCUUAAAGAGUUCGUAGGCGGCGCAGAAAGUAGGGUGUGAAAGCCCUCGGCUCAACCGAGGAAUUGCGCUCUAAACUACUGUGCUUGAGGAAGCUAGAGGUGAGCAGAACAGAUGGUGGAGCGGUGAAAUGCGUUGAUAUCAUCUGGAAUACCGGAGGCGAAGGCGGCUCACUGGGGCUUUUCUGACGCUGAGGAACGAAAGCCAGGGUAGCGAACGGGG
rnacentral:rRNA from 1 species